UACAGAGGGUGCGAGCGUUAAUCGGAAUUACUGGGCGUAAAGCGCACGUAGGCGGCUUUGUAAGUUAGAGGUGAAAGCCUGGUGCUCAACACCAGAAUUGCCUUUAAGACUGCAUCGCUUGAACGUCGGAGAGGUGAGUGGAAUUCCGAGUGUAGAGGUGAAAUUCGUAGAUAUUCGGAAGAACACCAGUGGCGAAGGCGGCUCACUGGACGACUGUUGACGCUGAGGUGCGAAAGCGUGGGGAGCAAACAGG
rnacentral:rRNA from 1 species